CCUGAGUGGAAAUCAAGGGUUAGAUGCUCAACCGACUGAGCCAACCAGGCAUCUCAGUAGAGUUCCUUUCAAAUAGUCCAGGAGAUGUAGAGAUGCUAGAUGGGUUCCUGGAGUUUGCCCAAGCAGCCAGGGCCCUGGGCCCACGCACUAAAUCGUUUCAACACAUGGAGUCUCCAUGUUCAGGAGGGCGCCCCCAGCCUGCUUGUCGAGAAUGGAUAUACCAGCCACAGAGAGAGGCUGAUGACAGAGAAUAGAGGUGAACUGACACAUUGGGGCAGGAGCACAGAAGAGGCUCUGGAGAGCAUGCAAGAAAGAGAAAGGGGACAGCCUCUGUGCUUUACGGAACAAUAGCUGGCUAAUGUCGUUUUCCAGGGCACAAGAAGAGGAAGCAACUCAGAAAAUAGACAAGGCAAGAGAGUUUUAACAGGACCAUGGGGACAGAGGAAAGGGGACAAUAAAAGUGGACAGAAAGAGAAGAAGGUGAACAAAUUGUAAAGAAGGCUGUGGUAUAAAUGCCCGAGAAAGUCUGGGACCACCAGCUCCUGGAAGACCAGCGAUGGGUGUGCAAGGUGACAGGUCGCCGCUCGCCCUAGGCCUCCUGAGGCUCCGUGCAGAUGGCCACAGGCAGACCCCUCUGUGUGGGGAUGACGCACAUGUGAGGAUUGUAAGACGAGGCCCUUGGGGCUCUGUUCACAAUACAAACAUUGUACAGGCCUUCUA